rnacentral:rRNA from 1 species
UACGAAGGGUGCAAACGUUGCUCGGAAUUAUUGGGCGUAAAGCGCCCGUAGGCGGCUUUGCAAGUCGGAUGUGAAAUCCCUCGGCUCAACCAAGGAAGUGCAUCCGAAACUGCAGAGCUUGAGUACCAAAGAGGAUCGCGGAAUUCCCGGUGUAGAGGUGAAAUUCGUAGAUAUCGGGAGGAACACCAGUGGCGAAGGCGGCGAUCUGGGUGGAUACUGACGCUGAGGUGCGAAAGCGUGGGGAGCGAACAGG